AUUUGGCACUUGUGGAAUAAUCGUUAAGUUUACAAAGAUUAUACAUUGGUGCCAAGUAA
rnacentral:pre_miRNA from 1 species